rnacentral:rRNA from 1 species
AGAGUUUGAUCCUGGCUCAGAUUGAACGCUGGCGGCAUGCCUUACACAUGCAAGUCGAACGGCAGCACGGGUGCUUGCACCUGGUGGCGAGUGGCGAACGGGUGAGUAAUACAUCGGAACGUACCUUAUCGUGGGGGAUAACGCAGCGAAAGCUGUGCUAAUACCGCAUACGCCCUGAGGGGGAAAGCGGGGGAUCGAAAGACCUCGCGCGAUUAGAGCGGCCGAUGCCUGAUUAGCUUGUUGGUGGGGUAAAAGCCCACCAAGGCGACGAUCAGUAGCUGGUCUGAGAGGACGAUCAGCCACACUGGGACUGAGACACGGCCCAGACUCCUACGGGAGGCAGCAGUGGGGAAUUUUGGACAAUGGGGGAAACCCUGAUCCAGCAAUGCCGCGUGAGUGAAGAAGGCCUUCGGGUUGUAAAGCUCUUUUGUCAGGGAAGAAACACCGGCUCUAACACAGUCCGGGAAUGACGGUACCUGAAGAAUAAGCACCGGCUAACUACGUGCCAGCAGCCGCGGUAAUACGUAGGGUGCGAGCGUUAAUCGGAAUUACUGGGCGUAAAGCGUGCGCAGGCGGUUAUACAAGACAGGCGUGAAAUCCCCGGGCUUAACCUGGGAAUGGCGCCUGUGACUGUAUAGCUAGAGUGUGUCAGAGGGGGGUAGAAUUCCACGUGUAGCAGUGAAAUGCGUAGAUAUGUGGAGGAAUACCAAUGGCGAAGGCAGCCCCCUGGGAUAACACUGACGCUCAUGCACGAAAGCGUGGGGAGCAAACAGGAUUAGAUACCCUGGUAGUCCACGCCCUAAACGAUGCUGACUAGUUGUUCGGGAUUUACAUCCUGAGUAACGUAGCUAACGCGUGAAGUCAGCCGCCUGGGGAGUACGGUCGCAAGAUUAAAACUCAAAGGAAUUGACGGG